CCUUUCUCCUACAAGAGUAAAGUGCUUAUACUUUGGUAUAGUAAGGACAAUAAUGUUCACAAAGCCCAUAUACUUUCACCUUUUAGGAGAGU
rnacentral:pre_miRNA from 1 species